rnacentral:lncRNA from 1 species
AGUGGACAGUGAGGACUUCUUCCAGCUGCUGGAGGAUGACACGUGCCUGAUGGUGUUGCAGUCUGGUCAGAGCUGGAGCCCUACAAGGGGAGCUCCUUCGUUGGACCUCCACACUGCUGCAAGGCCUGGGCCAUAUGUUGCUGGGAAUUUCCUCCACCCUUCGUCAUGCAGUGGAGGGGGCUGAGCAGUGGCAGCAGAAGGGCCGCCUCCAUUCCUACUAAGGGGCUCUGAGCUUCUGCCCCCAGAAU